rnacentral:rRNA from 1 species
AGGUCACGGCGAGACGAGCCGUUUAUCAUUACGAUAGGUGUCAAGUGGAAGAUGGCCUUCAACAAAAAAAAGUUGAAAAUCGCUUCUUCAACAAAAAAAAGUGGAAGGUGGCAGUAAUGUACGCAGCUGAGGCAUCCUAACAGACCGGGAGACUUGAAC